rnacentral:rRNA from 1 species
AACAGGAAGCAGCUUGCUGCUUUGCUGACGAGUGGCGGACGGGUGAGUAAUGUCUGGGAAACUGCCUGAUGGAGGGGGAUAACUACUGGAAACGGUAGCUAAUACCGCAUAACGUCGCAAGACCAAAGAGGGGGACCUUCGGGCCUCUUGCCAUCGGAUGUGCCCAGAUGGGAUUAGCUAGUAGGUGGGGUAACGGCUCACCUAGGCGACGACCCCUAGCUGGUCUGAGAGGAUGACCAGCCACACUGGAACUGAGACACGGUCCAGACUCCUACGGGAGGCAGCAGUGGGGAAUAUUGCACAAUGGGCGCAAGCCUGAUGCAGCCAUGCCGCGUGUAUGAAGAAGGCCUUCGGGUUGUAAAGUACUUUCAGCGGGGAGGAAGGGAGUAAAGUUAAUACCUUUGCUCAUUGACGUUACCCGCAGAAGAAGCACCGGCUAACUCCGUGCCAGCAGCCGCGGUAAUACGGAGGGUGCAAGCGUUAAUCGGAAUUACUGGGCGUAAAGCGCACGCAGGCGGUUUGUUAAGUCAGAUGUGAAAUCCCCGGGCUCAACCUGGGAACUGCAUCUGAUACUGGCAAGCUUGAGUCUCGUAGAGGGGGGUAGAAUUCCAGGUGUAGCGGUGAAAUGCGUAGAGAUCUGGA